UGGAAGAAACCCUCGCGCACAGGAGGAAACUAUCAACGCAUAGGGGAAAGCAGCGGCGGUGGCGCGGGUGCGGAUUGAGAGUCGACGGCGCGACGGCGACGCGGCACUCUCCCCGGAGGCGGCGCUCUCCCCUCCGCCGACCGUCCCCUCCGCUGGCCACUUUCUCACCGAUUGCAUGUCCACCAAUUAGAGUUGGAGAAGACCAGCCUCCUCCUUCUUGGGACCCUAUACCCUUGGCCUGGUAGUACUGGAUUGAUUUUAAGACCAAUUUUCAGUACUGGGUUGAUUUCUGAACUUUAUAGAUGGGAACACUGGAGCUGGGUGACUGAAGCGCAUGGUGGCAUUAGUGCUAAGCUUAAACACUUGCAUUCAAUUUGUAGUUUAGCUCUUAGCUGGCUACUUCUAUUUAUUCUAAGAAAAACAACUGAAUUGUACCCAUUUUGAUUAAUCUGUGACCUUUUCAUGUCCUUCAAAUUUCAUCAUCUUCUGCAUUUGUUGAUCUAAUACGGCCCAGCCACCUGUUUUUUUUUUCAUUCAUAGUCUGCAUGAUCAUCGCGCUUCACCCUGAGUGGGAUCGAUCCUGAUCUGCCAGGUAGGCCUCUGUUCUCGUCGUCAUCAUGGUGCUUUGCCCGUGAGCAUCGCUUGUCGUUCUUUGUUGAGUCAUCGUCAAGCUGUUAACACCAAAAUUUGAUACGGUUGUUUAGAGGAUUCAGUUAAGGAAAGAAGUCAAUCAACCGAUCAGGACUUAUAUCUUUUCUUUUAUCUUUAGGAAACUUGUAUCUUGUCCGAUUAGGACUAAUAUCAACCUAAGGGUAUAAAUAUGUACACCCGUAGACUUUGUAAUCUAUUUCCACAUAUCAAUACAUUACUUUCGGUA